GGUACCCAUGAUAUACAGCAUGCACUAUCCAUUACAUGAUAGAUGACUGUAUACGGCUGUACAUGCGGCAUGUGUCGUAUAGCCUCGCACCCAUUCAUGGCUGUCUAUUAUACGAUGGACGGUGUGCUAAGCAGAAGAUCUGCACUGAACAUGAUAAGCAAAGUACCUUAUUUAUACCAAGCAGUAAUAUUCACAAACCCAUAUAUAAUAUACCAAAACAUAAUAAGCAGAGGAG
rnacentral:lncRNA from 1 species